UUUAAAUUGAGAGUUUGAUCCUGGCUCAGGACGAACGCUGGCGGCGUGCUUAACACAUGC
rnacentral:rRNA from 1 species